rnacentral:rRNA from 1 species
UACGUAGGGUGCGAGCGUUUGUCCGGAAUUAUUGGGCGUAAAGAGCUUGUAGGCGGUUUGUCGCGUCUGCUGUGAAAAAUCCGGGGCUCAACCCCCGGACUUGCAGUGGGUACGGGCAGACUAGAGUGUGGUAGGGGGAGACUGGAAUUCCUGGUGUAGCGGUGAAAUGCGCAGAUAUCAGGAAGAACACCAAUGGCGAAAAGCAGCUCUCUGGGGACGGUACUGACGCUGAGACGCG